rnacentral:rRNA from 1 species
CCUGCCUCAUACAGGGGGAUAACAGUUAGAAAUGACUGCUAAUACCGCAUAAGCGCACAGGACCGCAUGGUCCGGUGUGAAAAACUCCGGUGGUAUGGGAUGGAUCCGCGUCUGAUUAGCUGGUUGGUGAGGUAACGGCCCACCAAGGCGACGAUCAGUAGCCGACCUGAGAGGGUGGCCGGCCACAUUGGGACUGAGACACGGCCCAAACUCCUACGGGAGGCAGCAGUGGGGAAUAUUGCACAAUGGGGGAAACCCUGAUGCAGCAACGCCGCGUGAGUGAAGAAGUAUUUCGGUAUGUAAAGCUCUAUCAGCAGGGAAGAAGAAAGACGGUACCUGACUAAGAAGCCCCGGCUAACUACGUGCCAGCAGCCGCGGUAAUACGUAGGGGGCAAGCGUUAUCCGGAUUUACUGGGUGUAAAGGGAGCGUAGACGGCUGUGCAAGUCUGAAGUGAAAGCCCGUGGCUCAACCGCGGAACUGCUUUGGAAACUGUAUAGCUUGAGUACUGGAGAGGCAGGCGGAAUUCCUAGUGUAGCGGUGAAAUGCGUAGAUAUUAGGAGGAACACCAGUGGCGAAGGCGGCCUGCUGGA